rnacentral:rRNA from 1 species
AGAAUCAACGCUGGCGGCGUGCCUAACACAUGCAAGUCGAACGAGAAAGUGGAGCAAUCCAUGAGUAAAGUGGCGCACGGGUGAGUAACACGUGACUAACCUACCCUUGAGUGGGGGAUAACUUCGGGAAACCGAGGCUAAUACCGCAUAAUACCUACGGGUCAAAGGAGCAAUUCGCUUUAGGAGGGGGUCGCGGUCGAUUAGUUAGUUGGCGGGGUAAUGGCCCACCAAGACAGUGAUCGAUA